AUGGAGGCAAGACCACAGCAUUGCCUGUCCAGAUUACUAGACAACUCUGCCCUGAAGCAGCAGGAGUUACCUGCCCACCGGCCAGGAGAGUCCUCUUUGUCUUUUUCACAACAGGAAUAUUCUGCCUUUGUAUGGGCAUCAUCCUUAUAUUGUCUGCAAGGAGCACUCAGGAAAUAGAGAUUAAUUACACAAGAAUAUGUGCGAAUUGUGCAAAACUGUGAGAAAAUGCCUCUAAUUUUGACAAGGGAUUCACCUGCUCUAUUCCCUUUUACCUUUCAGGAAAAAUGAUGGGUAAUGUUUAUAUGUACUACAAAUUGUAUGGCUUCUAUCAGAACCUGUAUCUAUAUAUUCGAUCCAGAAGUAAUAGACAACUGGUGGGCAAAGAUGUAAAAGCUGUUGAGGAUUGUGCCCCAUUUAAAAUGUCCGACAAUAAGACCCCCAUCAUUCCUUGUGAUGCUAUUGCCAACAGCAUGUUCAAUGACACCAUAAUUCUUUCACCCAACAUUAAUUCAUCUGUACAAAUCAAAGUGCCAAUGUUAAAGAGUGGACUUACGUGGUGGACAGAUAAGUGUGUCAGAUUUCAGAAUCCAAGUUCCAAGAAUCUUGCUGAUGAAUUUAGAGGAACCACAAAGCCCCCAAACUGGCCCAAGCCUAUCUAUGACUUGGAUAAAAAGGAUCCAAGAAACAAUGGCUUCCUCAAUGAUGACUUCAUUGUGUGGAUGCGGGCAGCUGCCUUUCCCACUUUCAAAAAACUGUAUGGUCGACUCAAUCGCACACACCAUUUUAUAGAAGGCUUGCCUGCUGGCAAUUAUAGUUUCAACAUAACCUAUAACUUCCCAGUAACCAGGUUCCACGGAGAAAAAUCAGUUGUUCUCUCCACCCUGACAUGGUGUGGGGGUAAUAGCCUUUUCUUAGGUCUCGCCUACACAGUGACAGGAGCUACGACAUGGUUGACCUCCUUUGCCAUGAUGGCAAUUCACAUCAUGCUGAAAAACAAGAAAAUGUCCUUCUUCCAUCAAUAA
rnacentral:sRNA from 1 species